rnacentral:rRNA from 1 species
GAGACUGCCGGUGUUAAGCCGGAGGAAGUGGGAUGACGUCAAGUCCUCAUGGCCUUUAUGCCCAGGGCUACACACGUGCUACAAUGGGCGGUACAAAGAGAUGCAAUCUCGUGAGGGUAAGCAAAUCUCAAAAAGCCGUUCUCAGUUCGGAUUGAAGUCUGCAACUCGACUUCAUGAAGUCGGAAUCGCUAGUAAUCGCGGAUCAGCAUGCCGCGGUGAAUACGUUCCCGGGCCUU